GUUGCAGCUUUGGCAGCACACAUACUAAAAUUGAAAUGAUACAGAGAAGAUUAACAUGGCCCCUGCGCAAGGAUGACUCAUAAAUUUGUGAAGUUUUCAUAUUUUUU
rnacentral:snRNA from 1 species